UGCCAAAGGAAUUGGCGAGUGCGAACACGGGAGGUUCCCCUUGCAACAUUUCUCAACUCCAGCGCACCGGCAUUGCACUGCUUCAGGUUCCCCAUGUUUUCUCUGCGUUUCACCAGCUGUCUGACCGACGACAAUGGUGGACCAGGAAGACAGAAGAGGUCGCCCGACAACAAUAUCAGCAAUAUCAAUAAUCAGAUGCCUACAAUAAAUCGCAUUGCUCGAGCUGCCGGAAACUAGUGCACGGAUAUGAUAAAGUUUGAAAUACGCUACCAUGUCCAACAGAAAUCAACGAAUCGAUGGUUGGAGAGCUUUAAAUAUCUAUGUGAGCAAGUUAGCAAUUUUGAUAAAACAUUUUUGAAGCAUGCAUUUUACAACACAUAGCCACAGUAGCAGCCCCAUUACCUGUAGAUGCCCACAACUACAGCGUGGUCUCGCUCAUAGGGCUCCAAUGUGAUCUGCUCUUGUGGCUUUAACCUCUCAGACUUCAGUUUCUCAACCUCACCAGCAAACACAGCCUCUGGCUCAGCAGUGGAAUCUAUACAGUUGGCCUGUGUAAAAAAAAGAAAGAAAGAAAACAAUAUUAAUACGAGCACAUGAUGUGUAUCCACCCAAACAAUUUGUGAAAUGCAUGCCAAUGGCUGAGCCACUACCUUAAUGGAAAUGACAAAGUGACCUCCAUUCUUCAGGAAGCUGUGUGCAUUGAUCGCUACAAUUCUGGCCUGGUCUGGUUGAGCUACAUCUGCAAAAAUUGUGUCUACCAUGCCUGAAAUGACAAGCGGUGGUAGAUGUUAGGAGAUUCAGUCAAAUAUUCAUGUACACACUAUAUGACAGUAUAAAUAACAUGAUCUCUGCAGGA